rnacentral:tRNA from 1 species
GCUCCUGUCGUUUAAUGGAUAAGACGCUGGCCUCCGAAGCCGGAAAUUGAGGUUCGAUUCCUCAUGGGAGCA